CAAGGAUGAAUUGGUCGAAUGGUGGGAACAAUCAGUGGACAUAGUUUGUUUUGGAAUGGUUGAUGCUGAGACAAGGACCCAGUGAUGGUGGAUGAAAUUUGUUUUGAAAUUUGCUAGUGCUGAGAAAUUUAUUGAAUGAUGGUCAAGGGAUGAUCGAUUGAUGAAGCUUAUUCCAAAGUAUUGAGAAACUGAACAGGGAAAAAAUGUGAGUGGAAAGGAUAAUUGAGAGCUACACUGGUUCGAUCUUAGAAGAGCAGUGCAAUUGGAUCCUUGAGGAAUCAAAGGGCUUGACACCCA
rnacentral:lncRNA from 1 species